CCUACGGGAGGCAGCAGUGAGGAAUAUUGGUCAAUGGGAGGAAUUCUGAACCAGCCAUGCCGCGUGCAGGACGACGGCUCUACGAGUUGUAAACUGCUUUUGUACCGGGGUAAAAUGCUCUACGAGUAUGCAUUUGAAAGUACGGUACGAAUAAGGAUCGGCUAACUCCGUGCCAGCAGCCGCGGUAAUACGGAGGAUCCGAGCGUUAUCCGGAUUCAUUGGGUUUAAAGGGUGCGUAGGUGGUUUUAUAAGUUAGAGGUGAAAUAACUAUGCUCAACUUCGGGGCUGCCGCUAAUACUGUGGGACUAGAGAGCGGAUGCGGCAGGCGGAAUGUGUGGUGUAGCGGUGAAAUGCAUAGAUAUUAGACAGAACACCGAUUGCGAAGGCAGCUUGCUAGGCCAGAUCUGACGCUGAUGCACGAAAGCGUGGGGAUCAAACAGGAUUAGAUACCCGGGUAGUC
rnacentral:rRNA from 1 species